rnacentral:rRNA from 1 species
UACGGGGGGGGCAAGCGUUGUUCGGAAUUACUGGGCGUAAAGGGCUCGUAGGCGGCCAACUAAGUCAGACGUGAAAUCCCUCGGCUUAACCGGGGAACUGCGUCUGAUACUGGAUGGCUUGAGUUCGGGAGAGGGAUGCGGAAUUCCAGGUGUAGCGGUGAAAUGCGCAGAUAUCGGGAGGAACGCCUAUGGCGAAGGCAGCUCGCUGGGACGUUACUGACGCUGAGACGCGAAAGCGUGGGGAGCAAACAGG